rnacentral:rRNA from 1 species
UACGUAGGGUGCGAGCGUUGUCCGGAAUUAUUGGGCGUAAAGGGCGCGCAGGCGGCUCAUUUUGUCAGGCGUGAAAGCCCCGGGCUUAACCUGGGAACUGCGUUUGAUACGGAUGGGCUAGAGUUCGGGAGAGGAGAGUGGAAUUCCCAGUGUAGAGGUGAAAUGCGUAGAUAUCUGGAGGAAUACCGGUGGCGAAGGCGGCAUCCUGGACCGAGAUUGACGCUGAUGAGCGAAAGCUAGGGGAGCAAACGGG